rnacentral:rRNA from 1 species
AACGUAGGACGCAAGCGUUAUCCGGAGUUACUGGGCGUAAAGCGCGGGCAGGCGGCUCGAAACGUCUGAUGUGAAGGCACCCGGCUCAACCGGGUGAGGCCAUUGGAAACGGUCGAGCUGGAGGGCAGUAGAGGUAGGCGGAAUUCCGGGUGGAGUGGUGAAAUGCGUAGAGAUCCGGAGGAACACCAGAGGCGAAGGCGGGUUGCUGGGCCGAUACUGACGCUGAGGAGCGAAAGCAUGGGUAGCGAACAGG